AAAGUGAGAGAGACUCUUAAACAUUUAUGGCAUCUGAACAGAUGAAGUGGCUCCAACGAUUAAAGGCGCUGUUGAGCCAGCUUGCGUUCAAAUCCCAGAACUCAUAUGGAUGGAAAGAGAGGAUAGAUUCUCCAUGCACGGCUCCAAACCUUAGUCGGCCCCGAGACCUUAGCACAACUGACUCCAUGAUGGAGUGCCAUUCAGGCUGUAAAACUCAGCUUGCCCAUAGCAGCACCACCUGCUAAAAUGAAAACAAAGACUUACUCCACCAAAGUCCAUGGCUCUGGUUCCCAUUGCCUCUGCUUUUGGAUGAGGAAACUGUCGUUUAAGGAGGACGUCCAAAACUGUGAUUAGUAAUAUGCUGAGGGGAAACUGAGGCAAUGUCGGGAAAGCUGCACCAAUCACACUGCGAAAGUCUGGAUCAAGCAAGACCAGAAGUCGAGGCAGAAAGGACGAGAUCAGCUGCUGGUUCAGCUGGACAGGUCUGGUUAAGGCUUGCUCACCGUCAGCCUCGAGAGAUGGCUCAACUGCCACGAUCUCUGACUGCCCCUGCAGAGGACCCAGGUUCAAUUCCCAGCACCCAUGUGGCAGGCCACAACAUUCUAUGACCCCAGUUUGAAGAGAGCCAACACUGUCUUCUGGUUUCCAAGGGCACCAGAAAUGCAUGGUACACAGACAAGCAGACAGACAGACACAUAAAAUGAAAAUAUAUAGAUCUUUAAAAAAGGAAGGAAAGAAAGAGGAGAAAGGUUAGAUCAGCCACUAAUUCAAGGAUUCAGGGUUCAACCAUGUUUUUUACAAAGAAAGAAAUUUAAAGGAAGGAAAGGGUGCUGCUGGUAAGACAGCCCAACAGGUAAAGGGCCUUGCCAUCCAGUUUGAGAAUGGAGUUCAAAUCCCCGUACCCCAAGUGGGAGGAGAGAACGACUCCAGCAGGUUGGUCCUUGACCUCCACGUGUGCACUGUGGCACCUGCAUACCCUGUCACCAUCCACUAAUGCAGGCUUAAUCCUAGAAUCAGCCAGUAGGUGGAGAUGCUCCCUGUCUAUCAUAGAAGUGUUCAGGAAAUAGAAUCGAAUUGAUUCCUUUGGGAUUUUGAAAACGACAACAACAGACUCAUGCUCUCGGUGUGUGAAUGUUUCCACUGUCUAGGACAUGGCACACAGUUGUGGCAGCCUUUCCUGUGUCCUUGUCGGCUGUGGCUGCCGUCCUUCCCCUCUCUUUCAUUUCAUAUUAUCUACUCGGUGUUUCUAGGAAAGGGUCACCAAGGUUGAGCUACAGCCAUUGCUCUGUCAUUUCCUGUUCUGCUCAGGUCCCUGGAAAUACCUCCACACCAAUAUCAGCUAAUGGUGGCAGCCCAGGGCGAUAGGCAACUCCACCUCUGGAAUCCGCCCCAGCUGCUCGCUCAAUGCCUGAGUGCAUUCAUUGGCCCCUGACUCUCGAGAGACACUUCUUAGGGGUGACAUCACACUGAGAGGACGCCGUGCUGUAAGUCUGCAGACCGGAGCAGACUAGAGCCUAGUGCUUUUCUUACCCCAUCCCAUGGAAAGGACAUACUGGAAUAUGUAAAACAGCACUCCACACCAUGUGGCUAAUAAAUGUCAUUUCUCUACAUUCUGACUGCUCACCUGACCUUAUAGGGAACUAGGGAGAAAAAUCACCAUUAAGUCUCAACCUGUGUGUACUUCAGACAUUGAGUGUCCCCAAAAGCCUUUGUCGAAGGCUUGGUUCCAAAGGAGCCACUGUUAGAGAUGGUGGAGCCUAGUGAAAGGUAUCUCGGGAUGGGGAGGAGCUCUACUGGAAAAGGGUUACAGGCUCCUGCUUCCUCUCCUCUCUUUGAUUCCCUGUUCAUGGUUUAGUACCAUUCCUCUACCACACUCUGGUCAUGACGUGUGGCCUUCUCAGGGCACAGCUUGUCAGGGGCCCAAAGCAAUGAGCUACUUAAUCACAGACCGGAAGCUACAGAACUAUGAGCCAAAAUAAACCUUUUUCUGAUCCAUUAACAGUCUCGGGUAUUUUGGAAGCUGGUUGAUACACCUGUUAACCAGAGCCACAGAGGGUCAGGUUUCUCUUCUCCAUUCCCAAAGAGGGUAAGGCCCAACAUGGUAGCGUCCUUCACACUCAACACCGUGUUGUAACACUCACUAAUUAAGAGUGGAGGGAGUUUCUCAGUGGGACAGUUUGUCAUUAAACACAUCCCAGAGAAGUAAGGGUUUCAUUCCAGAUGUUUGAUACUGUGCAGGAUGCUGGGGAUUUAAUUAUAAUGAAAAACAAGUAUGGUGUCAGCUUCCUGGAGCUCAAAAUCUUCCCUCCAUGUUUUAAAAUUCAAGCAUGUUGAAGUAUAAUUUAUGAAAAAUUCACUUAAAAUUUUAAAAUCACAUACACACAUAUUGUGAUGGUCUGUAUAUGCUUGGCCCAGGGAGUGGCACUAUUAGAAGAUGUGGCCUUGUUGGAGUAAGUGUGUCACUGUGGGUGUGGGCUGUAAGACCCUCACCCUAGCUGCCUGGAAGCCAGUCUUCUGUUAGCAGCCUUCAGAUGAAGAUGCAGAACUCUCAGCUCUAUGCCUGCCUGGAUGCUGCCAUGCUCCCCCCUUGAUGAUAAUGGACUGAACCUCUGAACCUGUAAGCCAGCCCCAAUUAAAUGUUGUCCUUGUAAGAGU